CUCAUUAUGAAGAAAUUUGGGAGACAAUUCAUUAUGAUGGACUUUCUAACUUUAUCUCCGGUCCUUGUGUCUCAGCUCCUUUCCUGCAAGAUGAUAGAACUGGACUAGCUCAUGUCCAGGGACUUCUGGCUCUAAGACUUCAUCAAUCUAUGAUCCUUAAUCAGAGAACUAAUUUGAAUUUGAGCCUGCCUUGCCUCCGUAUCAGGUGCAAACACUUCAGAAUUGCUGAUAAGUACCAUCCGACUCGGGCCCUUCCCCUUGUUACCCUCAGUUCUUUCCGCUCCUCCACCUACUCUCUGCACUCCAGAGAUGAGAAGACUGUGCUCAGAGAUGUCAAGCGACGUGGAAGAAUCACCCAGCUAAUAGGAGACAAAUUUGGAAUUUGCAGCAACACAGAACAGAUGCUGCCCCAGAUGUGGAAGAUGCAGAUGUUUGCCAGUUUCAGAAUAACUCCAAAUUCAUAACUGUAUCUGGCAUUCUACAGAUUCCUCAGUUUGAUUUUGAGGAGAAAAUUGUCCCCCCUCCCCAAAACAUUGUUUAAAUAUUUUUUCCUGCUUUAUAUGUGACUUGGUGGUCACAUUUAAUUGAGAAUUGAACACCAGUUCCAUUUUUAGUUACCACAGAAAGAUACUAAAAAUUAUUAUAGUUAAUAUGCAAAUAUACAAAUCAGUUCUCCGUAUUUUGAGUUUUCAAAAAAUCAAUUUACUAAACAUUCAGGCACUGAGCAUUUACUAAGCACUAUGUGUCUGGUAGUGAGUGAGGUACCGACAGGAUGUAAAAAGAUAAACACACAAGUCACACAAGUCACUGUCAUAGAUUCAAAGAAAUGUAUCAUCUGAAGAUGUCCUAGCAGUUAUAACUUAAGAUGUAUAUAGAGACAUAUAUUUAUUCAGGUAUAUGCAUAUAAAUAUGUAUGUGCAUAUAUUUCUUUACAAAGAUAUUAUACUAAAGGAAGCAGAGAAUAAUAUUAAAGCAAAAUAAAAGUUGACCAGUAGAAAAGAGGUCAAAUAACAGGUACAACAUCUGUUGUCAUAUAAAAAUAUAAAUAGACUUCUGAUGUCAGAGCAAAUGCCACACAACUGGACCUAAUUAAAAGGGGGGAGAAUCUGGCUAUAUUCAAACUAUUAUAAACAGUUAGUUCAAAUAUUUGAGUGCCUGUGAUGGACAAUAUGGAAUAUACAGAAAGCAUAUUAUGAACCCUCUCCUCAUCUUGUCUAUAAAUAACCAGGGGUAAGGUAGGUACAUAAAGACAUAUAAUACUGUACAGAAAAUAGCUCAUUGGAGAAGUUAAAGAAAAUGCUAAAAGAAGUGCAAGGAGAAAUUCUUCCAAUUUACAGAAUCAAAGAAAGUGGAAUGGAUGUGUUAGAAUUUGAGUUUAGAUUUAAUAGGAUGGGAGGGUUUCAAAAGAGAGGUUGCUUCAAUAUUUCCAUGUGGGACAGACUUAGUAGCAACAUGUGAUUGUCAGGAGCUUCAAUGAUUGAUAGAGCCUUGUCUUGAAGUUAUAUUUUCAGUACCAGUUCCCUAUUUUCCACUUGGGUUAGAAAAUGUGGGUUAUAUUUAAGGUGGCUAACUGGCCAGCAGACAUGGAUAAGGAAGAGGUUAAAACUCACCCAACUCUGUACUACUUCUGCACAAAAAAUUAGCAAAGGUGUAAGAUUUCAUUCAGAAAAUAUGGAUUAAUUUUUCCUAGUAAGAACUUGAAAUAUAUGUAUAAAAGAAAAGAAUAGUACAAGAUACACAUUAAAAAAUAGAAUAGAGAAAGAGAAUAUGAGGACUAGGGAAAAGUUGGAUCAAUAAAGCAGAUUAGGAAUUUCAGGCUUUGCUCUCUAGCCAGUAGAAAGCAUUUUUUUCUUCCUCCAGUUGUUUUGUUUUCCAAGUAAUAAGACAGAAUGAUCAGAUGGUUAAUAUAGAAGUGACUUGAUGGAUAGACUGGCAAAGAGAAAAACUAAAGUCAGGGAGAUCAUUUAGAGGCCUAUUCAAUAGUCUAGGUUAAGGUGAAAAGAUGAAUUUAUAGAUAAGGUAGAAAGAAGAAAAUGAAUUCAAGAUGAAUUCAUCACAGUAUAAACAAUAAGUAAUUUAGUUAGAAUACUUUCAUGAUGAAAGGUUGUAUAAUUAAAGGACAACUAAAAUUUCAAGCUUGGAUAACUAUGGGAAUGUUAUCCCUAGUUAACAGUGACAGAACUGUGAAAAUCUAUGUGUGUUUUGCUUUAAAAUUUAACAGUGGGAGAGAUGGAAAAAAACUCUUCUUUGGGCUUUUAAGGUUGGAAGUUCAGAUAUCUUUUACAAUAGAAUAUCCAACAGGCAACAGAAAAUUGGAACUAUAGUUUUACAAAUAAUUGCUGCUAUAGAAUGAAUGAGACUUAAGACAAUGUAGAAAGAAAAUAAAGAAUGGGAAGAUCAAUUAGGUACAUUGUAUGUGGGGAGGAAAGAAAUUGGAGGAGAAAAUGAAGAAUCAGGAUUGUGAGAGCAACUGUAGAUUAGUUCAUUUUUGCAGUGGUUUAUUCAAGAAGAAAUGGUAAAAGUGUCAAACAGUCUAAAAAAGUCAAGUUCAAUAAUUUAGAAAAAUUCGCUGAAUUUGUUGAAUAAAUGGUAAAAAAAAAAAGGGUAAGAAAUAAAAAGGGUAAGAAAUGGACAGUUGAAUAUUAAGUUUUUAACUUUUAUAUAUAUAAAUAUAUAUAUAUAUUUAUAUAUAUCUAGAACAUUUCAUCCCAAAGCAACAGAAUGCACAUUCUUUACAAGUGCACAUGGAACAGUCUUUAAGAUAGAUCAUAUAUUAGGCCACAAAAUGAGCCUUAAUAAAUUUAAGAAGAUUGAAAUUAUAUCAGGCAUCUUUUCCCAACCACAAUAGUAUGAAACUAGAAAUAAAUUAUAAAAAGAAAACUGGAAAAUUCAUGAAUAUGUGGAGAUAAAAAAUAUGCACUGAUAACCACUGGGUCAAAGAAUUAAAAGUUAAAUUAAAAAAACCUUAAAACAAAAAAAAAUGGAAGUACAACAUACCAAAAGAUAUGGGAUGCAAAAAAAAAGAAGUUCAAAGAGGGAAGUUCAUAGUGAUAAAUGCCUACAUUAAGAAAUAAGAAAAAUCUCAACAAUUUAACACCUCAAGGAACUAGUGAAAGAAGAACAACUUAAGUGCAAGGUUAACAGAAGGAAGGAAAUAAGAAAGAUCAGAAUGGAAGUAAAUAAAAUAGAGACUGAAAAGACAAACAGAUCAAUGAAACUAAGAGCUGGUUCUUUGAAAAGCUCAAAAAAACUAAGAAAAAAAAAGAGGGCUCAAAAUCAGAAAUGAAAGAGGAGAUAUUACACCCCAAACCACAGAAAUACAAAGGAUGAGAGAGCCUAAACAAUUAUACGCCAACAAGUUGGACAACCUAGAAGAAAUGGCUAAAUUCCUAGAAGCAUACAACCUGCCAAUACUGAGUCAUCAAGAAAUAAAAAAUCUGAACAGACUGAUUACUAGCAAGAAUAUUGAAUCAGAAAUAAAACAGAAAAAGCUCAGGACCAGAUGGCUUCACUUGUUAAAUGUUUGGUAGAAUUAAAAGAAAAUUAAUACAGAGUCUCUUCAAACUCUUCCAAAGAAUAGAAGAGGAAAGAACACUUUCAACCUCAUUUUAUGAGGCCAGCAUUAACCUGAUACCAAAACCAGACAAGGAUGUCACACACACACGAAUUACAGGCCAAUAUCCCUGUAAAGAAUAGGGGAAAAAAAUUCUCAACAAAUAUUAGCAAAUCAAUUCAAGAAUACAUUAAAAGGAUCAUACACCAUGAUCAAGUGGGAUUUAUCCCAGGGAUGAAAGAAUGGUUCAACAUCCACAAAUUAAUCAAUGAGAUAUACCCCAUUAAAAAAAUGAAGGAUGAAAAUUACAUGAUCAUCUCAAUAGAUGCAGAAAAAGCAUUUGACAAAAUUCAACAUUUAAGAUAAAACCUCUCAACAAAGUGGGUAUAGAGAGAAUAUACCUCAACAUAACAAAGCCCAUAUAUGAUAAGCUAACAUCAUACUCAACAAUGAAAAGGUAAAAUCAGGAUCAAGAAAAGGAUGCCCACUCCCACCAUUUUCAUCCAACUUAAUAUUGGAAGUACUAGCUUGAGCAAUUAGGCUAGAAAAAGAAAAGCAUCCAAGUUGGAAAGGAAGAAGUAGAACUGUCAAUAUUUGCAAAUAACAUGAUAUUAUUUAUUCAAAACCCUGAGACUUCAUCAAAAUAACUGUUAGAACUAAUCAACACAUUCAGUAAAGUCACAGGAUACAAAAUCAAUGUAUGGUAAUCUGUGGUAUGUCUAUUCACUAAAAAUGAAUUAUCAGAAAGAGAAAUUAAAACUAUCCCAUCUACAACUGCAUCAAAAAGAAUAAAACAGGGCUUCCCUGGUGGCGCAGUGGUUGAGGGUCCGCCUGCCGAUGCAGGGGACACGGGUUCUUGCCCCGGUCCGGGAAGAUCCCACAUGCCACGGAGUGGCUGUGCCCGUGAGCCAUGGCCGCUGAGCCUGCGCGUCGGGAGGCUGUUGCUCCGCGACAGGAGAGGCCACAGAAGUGAGAGGCCCGCGUACCGCAAACAAAACAAAACAAAAACAAAAAAAGAAUAAAACAUAUAAGAAUAAAUUUAACCAAGGAGGCAUAAGACCUCUAUACUGAAAACUAUAAGACACUGAUGAAAAAAACUGUAGAAGAAAAAAAAAUGUGGAACAAUACUCUGAGUUCAUGGAUUGAAAGAAUUAAUAUUGUUAAAAUGUCCAUACUACCCAAAGCUAUCUAUUGGUUCAAUGCAACCCCUAUCAAAAUCAUUAGAGAAAUGCAAAUCAAAACUACAAUGAGGUAUCACCUCACAGUGGUCAGAAUGGCCAUCAUCAAAAAAUCCACAAACAAUAAAUGCUAGAGAGGGUUUGAAGAAAAGGGAACCCUCUUGCACUGGUGGUGGGAAUGUAAAUUGAUACAGCCACUAUGGAGAACAGUAUGUUGGUUCCUUAAAAAAAUAAAAAUAGAAAUACCAUAUGAUGCAGCAAUCCCACUACUGGGCAUAUACCCUGAGAAAACCAUAAUUCAAAAAGAGUCAUGUACCACAAUGUUCAUUGCAUCUCAAUUUACAAUAGCCAGGACAUGGAAGCAACCUACGUGUCCAUCAACAGACAAAUGGAUAAAGAAGAUGUGGCACAUAUAUACAAUGGAAUAUUACUCAGCCAUAAAAAGAAAUGAAAUUGAGAGAUUUGUAGUGAGGUGGAUGGACCUAGAGUCUGUCAUACAGAGUGAAGUAAGUCAGAAAGAGAAAAAUACCAUAUGCUAACACAUAUAUAUGGAAUCUAAAAAAAUUAAAAAUGGUUUUGAAGAAGCUAGGGGCAGGACAGGAAUAAAGAUGCAGACAUAGAGAAUGGACUUGAGGACACGGGGAGGAGAAGGGUAAGCUGGGACGAAGUGAGAGAGUGGCAUGGACAUAUAUACACUAUCACAUGUAAAAUAGAUAGCUGGUGGGAAGCAGCCACAUAGCACAGGGAGAUCAGGUGCUUUGUGACCACCUAGAGGGGUGCGAUAGGGAGGGAGGGAGGGAGAUGCAAGAAGGAGGAGAUAUGGGGUUAUAUGUAUAUCUAUAGCUGAUUCACUCUGUUAUAUAGCAGAAACUAACACACCAUUGUAAAGCAAUUAUACUCCAAUAAAGAUGUUAAAAAAAUAAUUCCAAUGACAUUUUUUACAGAAACAGAACAAUCCAAAAAUUGAAUGGGACACAAGACCAUGAAUAAUUAAGGCAAUCUUGAGGUAGAAGACCAAAGCAGGAGGUAUCACCCUCCCUGAUUUCAAACUCUAUUACAAAACUAUAGUAAUUAAAACAGUAUAGUAUUGGCAUAAAAACAGACACACAGAUCAAUGGAACUGAAUAGCACAGAAAUAAACCCACUUAUAUAGUACAUUAAUUUACAACAAAGGAGCCAAGAACAAUGAGAAAAGGACAGUCUCUUCAGUUAAUGCUGUUGGGAAAACUGGACCAUUAUCUUAUACCAUACAAAAAUAUCAAUACAAAAUACAUCAAAGAUUUGAACUUAAUGCCUGAAACCAUAAAAUUCCUAGAAGAAAAAUAGGUGGUAAGCUCCUUGACAUUGGUCUUGGGGAUGAUUUUUUGGAUUUGACACCAAAAGGCAAAAAAUGCAAAAAUAAACAAGUGGAACUAUAUCAAACUAAAAACCUUCUGCACAGCAAAAGAAACUAUCAACAAAAUGAAAAAGCAAGCUCCUGAAUGGGUGAAAAUGUUUGCAAAUCAUAUAUUUGAUAAAAUAUCCAAAAUAUGUAAAGAACUGAUAGAAUAGUAAAAAAACAAUCUGAUUAAAAAGUGGGCAGAAAAUCAAAAUUACUAUGAGGUAACACCUAACACUGGUCAGAAUGGCCACCAUUAAAAAGUCUACAACUAACAAAUGCUGGAGAGGGUGUGGAGAAAAGGAAACUGUUCAGCACUGUUGGUGGGAAUGUAAAUUGGUACAGCCACUAAAGAAAACAGUAUGGAGGAUCCUUAAAAAACUAAAAAUACGCAUGCCACGGAGCGGCUGGGCCUGUGGGCCGUGGCCGCUGGGCCUGCGCAUCCAGAGCCUGUGCU